rnacentral:tRNA from 1 species
GGUUCCGUGGUGUAGAGGUCAUCACGUCUGCUUUACACGCAGAAGGUCCUGGGUUCAAUUCCCAGUGGAACCA